rnacentral:rRNA from 1 species
AUACGGAGGGUGCAAGCGUUACUCGGAAUCACUGGGCGUAAAGCGCGCGCAGGCGGCUAUUUAAGUUGGAUGUGAAAGCCUACGGCUCAACCGUAGAACUGCAUCCAAAACUAUUUAGCUAGAGUGUGGGAGAGGAAGAUGGAAUUAGUUGUGUAGGGGUAAAAUCCGUAGAGAUAACUAGGAAUACCAAAAGCGAAGGCAAUCUUCUGGAACACAACUGACGCUGAGGCGCGAAAGCGUGGGGAGCAAACAGGAUUAGAAACCCUAGUAGUCC